rnacentral:rRNA from 1 species
CACGGGGGAAGCAAGCGUUGUUCGGAAUCACUGGGCGUAAAGGGCGUGUAGGCGGUCAAGUAAGUGGAAUGUGAAAUGCCCCGGCUCACCCGGGGACCUGCAUCCCAAACUGCUUGGCUUGAGUAUGGGAGAGGAUGAGGGAAUUCCUGGUGUAGCGGUGAAAUGCGUAGAGAUCAGGAAGAACACCCGUGGCGCAAGCGCCCAUCUGGCCAUGACCUGACGCUGAGACGCGAAAGCUAGGGGAGCGAACAGG